rnacentral:rRNA from 1 species
GCCGCGUGAGCGAUGAAGGCCUUCGGGUCGUAAAGCUCUGUUGUUAGGGAAGAACAAGUAUCGGAGUAACUGCCGGUACCUUGACGGUACCUAACCAGAAAGCCACGGCUAACUACGUGCCAGCAGCCGCGGUAAUACGUAGGUGGCAAGCGUUGUCCGGAAUUAUUGGGCGUAAAGCGCGCGCAGGUGGUUCCUUAAGUCUGAUGUGAAAGCCCACGGCUCAACCGUGGAGGGUCAUUGGAAACUGGGGAACUUGAGUGCAGAAGAGGAAAGUGGAAUUCCACGUGUAGCGGUGAAAUGCGUAGAGAUGUGGAGGAACACCAGUGGCGAAGGCGACUUUCUGGUCUGUAACUGACACUGAGGCGCGAAAGCGUGGGGAGCGAACAGGAUUA